AUACGGAUCCGGAUUCGGAUAUUUGGAGCUAAAAAUUAAGAUAUCCGGAUUUGGAUUUGAGGGAUCCAAGAUUUUACUAUCCAGAUUCAGAUCCAAACAUCACAAAUAUCCUAUUUUACGAGCGGAUCUGGAGAGAAUCUCGGAUCGGAUCUGGAUCCCAUAUAAUAAUCCUAGGCCUAAUAUCCAAAUCGUAAAUAAAAAUAAUAUAUAUUGUAUUUUUUGUAUAUAUAACCAAUUAGAAUGAAUAUUAAUAUAUUUUUUUGAAACACAAAUUGUUUUGGAAAAUAAUAUAGACAUACUUUUGCAAAGAAUAAGUUAAUAUUUCAAUGCUAAAUUAUUAACAUUAUUUUUUUGUUUUCUUAUAAUUCAAAUAUAAUUGGGUAGAUUAUAUGAGAAAAACUUCAUAUUAAUAUUUUUUUAAACUAAGGUAAUGUAAACUAAUUACAUUAUUCGAUAGUUUAUAGUCUAAGCCUGAGAUUACAUAGAAAAUAAUCAGUUUCGUUGAAUAUAUUUAUAUAACAUAUUUAAAAUAUAUUUUAAUUGGUAUAUGUAAAUAAGAAAAACAUAUUAAUCUACAAAAUGGGCAUUCACUUGUUGGUGGUAAAAUGCUAAAACAGUAAAAUAAACAAAUCAAAGCCCAAUUACCAAGUUAACUAAUUUAGCGUAGGAAAAAGAAAAAAAACGUUAGAUUAACGUUCAUUAAAAAAAACUCACAUCGCGAUCUAAACAACGAUAUCUAGGGUUUCGAUGUUCCAUGUUCAUCAACCAUCUUUUCGGCGAGUUCCACACCGGUAUCUACGAUUUAAAUUCUUUCCAAACUUUCAAGAUGCUAUCAAUCGUGAAAUUAAUAGAAUCAAGAUGUAAGAACUUGAGACAUAUAACAAACAGAAGUAGACAUUAAAGACAUCAAAAUUAAGACUAUUUGGAGAUCGGUGGUCCAUUGCAAAGAUCGGUGAUAUAAUGGACAGAGUGGUCGGAUUAAGUUGUUAUCUCGAGAGAGAAGAGCAAAUCCAUCACUGUAAAGAAGAUGAACCCCACUUGAAAGUCUAAGAAAAAGAAACUUAUCAAGAUAAUUGUUCUGCGAUGAAAGAAUAAAAAAGAUAUGGAGCAUGAAGAAAAGGGUCAAAAAAUAACGGCUCACAUGAAGAUUCAAACUGAAUCUGAGGCAAGAGUUGCAUCAAGGGAACUCUUCCAAAACGUUGCCAAGCGCCAGGAGCAGAGUUCAUUAAACUGGGUGACUUUGAUGCUUCCUUUCAGAAACGGAUCCCUAGUCAGAGGAUGAAACAACCCGAAUCACUUGCAAAUCUCAGACUACAAUUGAUGGUAAAUGAGAUAACCCAAAUGAGCUGCGCUUCUCCGCAACAUUUGAUGGUAAUCACGGUUAGUACUCUAUUUUAAGGUUUUAACUCAUAUAAGAAUGGUUGAGUGAAUCAUUACCUUAGCAAUAUAUGUUUGGUUUUAAAUUGAUUAAGUGAUGCAUACGUGAAUGAUUGUGUUAUAUAUAACUUAAAAAUUAAAGCAAAAUCACUUCAAAUAGCCCAAAGGAAAUGAUUUGGUGUGUCAAAAAAAAAUAGGAAAAGCAUACUUGUAUAAAAUAAAUGUUUGAUAAUAAGACUUGCAAAAUGUUGUUCACAUACCCUCUACUCUACGUGUGGGGAUUUGAAACCUACAUGUAACAGAACAAAAUUAAUAUAUAUUUUAUUAUAAUUAUCUUUCUACAACAUACAAUGAAACACGCAUAGAAACAUUCCAAAAUUGAACACACAGCUACGUAAAACAUGGAUUAUAAGAAUAGAUUAAAGUGACACCCUACAAAGAAAUAAUGAUAUUUGUAAUAGAUCAACUCGCAUAUAAAGUGUUAAAACGUAUUCUUUGAAAAAAUCUUAAAGUUUCAUCGUCUGACACCAUUUCAAGCGUCUUGCCUCCGGUAUGACAUGUUUCUUUUCCACGAAUGAAGCAAUUAAACGUGAACUCUCCAUCCGGUUUUAAAAGAUUUGACAUUUUUGAGAAGAGUAAAAUUGAAAAACUGAUAAUUUCAGACAUGUUUAGGUUGUUGAGUGAAUAAGAAUGAGUAUUGACGGUAGAGGAAUGAGAUAUAUAUAUAUAUAUAUCUUCUUUAUAUAUAAAGUAAGCUUUGUAUCCCUCCUAGAGCGUCCAGCUCGGAUGCCAUGUCACAAAUUCGUGUUCUGUGGUAUUGACACGUGUCCACUAAGACUACACACCGCGUUUCAUUUAUUGGGCUUACGAUUACGUUUGGGCUUACGAUUACGUUUGUGGGCAUUCGCUUACUUCGUAAAACCUAUUUUAGAGUGUAAGCCAGUAUAGUCAAAACACGUCGUUUUUGUUUCUUUUGUUUCAUCUAUUUUUUCUUCUGUGCGGCUGCGAUAUCGGAGGAGACUCUAGGGUUUUUGAUCCAGAUGAUUCAUCUUCUUCCUAACUUUCCUAACUAAGGAAUCAACCAGUGUCAGUUAUUGUUUUUACCCAUGGGAUUUAUGAUAUUUAUCGUCCAAAUCCCUUUGGGCUAAUAUGUAUUGUUUGUGAGUCAACUCAACCCUAGCAUCCAACAGCCACCGUCCUCUUCGAUCCCUUGCUUCCCCGUCAUCACAAAGCUUCAACUUUAACACCGCCAUUCGAAUUAACAUCCACCUCUUCCAUGGAUUACAAGAACGUGAUAUGCACCUCCUUGCCACAACGAAUCGUUAGGAGAUGGUAACAUUAGACGAGUAAACGCGCUCUGGAGAAUCAUAUCGACGCGUUGAGCCUCAAGCACGAAGACAAUUACGCAAUGGAGGCUGUGGCGGUGGCGGAGGGAAUAAGAAGACUGAUGGUAGUCUUUCAACCGUUGUACCAGUGGAACAUUUGCGACAAUUAAGGAGGAGCAACGGUUGUUCUAGAGAGGCUGGUCGGCGGCAAGCAGAUCCACGCGAUGAUGGUUAAAGACGGUUCUGUGUCAUGGAUUAGCGAUUCAUUUUUUGGUGUCGAAUCAUUUGAAUUGGGCUCGACGUUGAUCAAGAUUACCGAGAAGAUUGGAUAUUAGUGGAAACUAAAAGAGAAGAAAGGAUAUGUAGGAUUAUCACAGGAGAUUAUGCUACCAUCAAAUGGCUCUUUGGAAGAUAGAAAGCUCUGCUAAUUGGUUUCAACUCAAGAAACAGAAUCCGGUAGUGCAACUGGCUAAAUUCAAUCAACAAAAGUGAAUCAAUGUCAAAAUGUUCAUCUCAAUUAUGGAUAUGAUCUAUCGCAGUGGUGAGUGUAAUCAAAGUUGUUGGAGCAUGGUGGAGAAGUGGUGCCAUUGUAAUGGCGACUGAUGGCCAUAACGGCAUAUUGAAUCACCAGAAAGGGGUGUGCUCAUAGCAUGGCUGUAAUGGUUGUAUGAAUCGUCACUAACCGCGCUUUAACUCUCCCUGCCCAGUACAACACGAUUUCGCUUUCUAUUAAACUACUUCAUCUUGAGGCAGUGUUUCUCUCCUAUAAAAAGGCUGGCCAUUGUUCUUCCACCGUGCAACUGUUCCGAUUCUGGUAAGCAAGGACGUUAAUCGUGGUGGCGAGUUGAUGUCUGAACCUUACACGGAGGCUUAACUACAAACACCAGCAACGUGCUCUCAAAUUCUCGGAUUCUAUAUUCAUGUUGCUUGCGAUUUAUAACCAGGCUGUUACUACAUUGCGAACAAGUAGUAGAUCUGAAUAGAGCAAGAGCUCCUUUGCUCGAGAUUGUAACUGAACCUCAUAUGGGAAGUCGGGUCGAAGCUGGUGAAUACGCAAGUGAGAUGCAAUAGAUUGUAAGGUAUUUAGGAUUGAGUACAUGAAUAUGCAAGAAGGCUCUCCCCGCUGUGUUGUCAAUAUCUCAAUCCGCCCAAUUGGGCAAGUUAAGUUUGUCACCAAGGUCAAUAAGUUAAUUUUCUUUAUUUAUCGUUUGUAGAUUCUGAUCUUUUUCAGAAAAUGUCGACUGUUUAAUUUGAUUCAGCAGGAGAGAUGCAUUAUAUUGGUACAUAUCUUGGUAUGCAAUCAAAAGGUUAAUACUUAGUUGUAUAAAUUAUGACAAAAGUACUACUACGACAGUAAAACAAAGGUGAGCAACUGGCAGAUUCCAGCCGUCGUGAAAGAUUUGGUGAAGAAAACGGAGGAAACGUCUAUGGAGAAUUUAGCUUCUGUUCCGAGUGCUGCUCAUCGUAGACUCACUUCAACUAAAGGGAAUACCAAUCAGUAAAUCAGUUUUAAAUAAGCUUUUCCCACAGCAUAAAAUGCCGCUAAGCAAGUUGUUC